GUCGCUCGGGGGUACAGCCCCGAUCUCCUCAAUUUCUUCUUCGACGUCGGGAACGACAAGCUGCUGAGCCUGUUCCCGCCGCAGUCGUGGGCUCAAGGGAAGGGCCUCCUGUGUACGCUAAGGAUACACCACAGACUACCACCUUGUUAUUUAAAUGACUCAUCUAGCAAACCACUCAUAUUGUAGUUACUCGUACCGAAAGUAUUCGCUUCAUGACCCGGUCUUCUCGGUCUAUGGCCACUCUUCCGUAUGGCUACACGUAGACUUCUGUACGUAUAUAAACCAGGGUAACCUUUGCCUCGUUCGUCGCAACAAGUCUCUCGAUAAAAGUAUGGUCAAGUAGCUUAAGACCGGAACUUCUUCUAUUUGUAUAAACUCUUCCUCUUUUCCGUUGUUUAAGAAUUACUCUACUCUUGCAAUACACUUCGUUCAACGAUAGGACCAAAUCAACUUAAGGUCCCACGUAAAAUGUACGGGCUAAGACCUGUUUAUUCGUAACGGGAACUUAUGUACCUACCACCGAGAAAUCGUCUGCAAUAUUCUCAGUUCUUUAGUUAUGGUCUCGGUCAAGAACGCGUAUACGAUGACUUUCAUAAUGAACCGGACUUCAUGAACGUACUUCAUUCUGUAGAUCACGUAUCUCUAGAUUUCGGUCGCUUAUAUGACCAUUUGGAGUUCCCUCUCCGUUUUUAAUGUCUGAAACCACAUUCACGACCAAACCUGUUAUGUUACCGAUACACACGAUGGAAACAUCCUUGGCACUGUAUAUACAGUGGACUCUCUUAAGCAUUACUCUUGAUGAGAAUACGACGACUAUAAACCUCAGAACCUGAUUGCUAUAACCUCACACGAUGACCAUUUAAAGGUAUAUUACAGUUACUUCCGGGUCGGUUAGAGUACGACGUCUAUGAGCUACUAGGUAGUGGUCGUGGUGGUCUUCUACGGAUAUGUGGUCUUAAAACAAGGAAGUAUUUACUAACGAACGCCUUUAUACGACUACGUUCCGGAUGUACGCUCGUCGAAAACAGUGUGGGUAAGUAGUUCUCCAUACUCGUUUGACCACACCUGAACCGUCGUAUACAGUCCCCACAACAAUUGGGUUGUCUUUCUAACUUCGUUUAUCGCCUCUACGAACGACAAGUAAUAAUGGAGGACAAAUUACCGAGACUUCCUGGAACCCUAGUAUACUUCUGUAAGAUGUCCCUUCUUAGUAGAAAGUCAAAAAGUCCCUUACACAUACAGCCUGUUUCACGGUAUAAACUAUGAAAUAGUUUAUAUUCCUUCUUCAAUUUUCCACUAGCCGGAUCUCUUUUUUAACAAGUACAACAACUCUUCGACGUAACAGCACGCUUACCCCUUUGUCUUUAGCGAUAGGCACACAGACCUAGUAAGUAGUGCCCGUUGGUUAAGGAUUAUAGACCACUUCCCAACGUUCGACUUCCCUACGGGUCGGACCUGCUUUAGUUAUAGCUGUAAGGUUCGUUCGCCCAUCCGGUCAAGGCCCUCGUCAAAUGGCACGAAGGUCCCUGAAGGUACCCUACGAUGAUGUAUCGUUUCGUUCUGGAGAUGUAGCAGGUCAGGACUUUUGUUACAUAUUUCACAUUCAAUACAAGGCAAACACGGCAGUUACAGGUACUACUUUCGAUUCAGUACCAAAGGUGCGGAGCGCUGGGGUAUUGAAGCUGUACGAAGUCUAGUGUUACGUCAGGACGAUGGUAACUGUAACUAAGGUAAAGAAGAGCUACGCUAGUUAGUUUGAACAUCGACUUUGUAUUGAACUAACAACAAACAUUCCACCAUUCCUUUUACUUCGCUAAGAUUACUAAGUACACACAUCUAUCUAUGAGAAGUGUGUACCACGUCCAAAUCAGCUCCGACGAGUUAAAGACAACAUCUACUCUUCUAACGUGCACACACGCGAUUAUUCACUGCGGAGAGUUACAUCCAAACAUAAUGAUUACGAAUACAUAUUUUCUGAUAGAUAUUAAUUGAGGCGACCAUGACAUA
rnacentral:rRNA from 1 species